rnacentral:rRNA from 1 species
UAACACAUGCAAGUCGCACGGGGGCUUCGGCUCGAGUGGCGGACGGGUGAGUAACGCGUAGGAACGUGUCUUGGGGUGGAGGAUAACGCUGGGAAACUGGCGCUAAUACCGCAUGUCUGCUGCGGCAGAAAGCCUUCGGGUGCCUUGAGAGCGGCCUGCGUCCGAUUAGCUUGUUGGUGGGGUAAUGGCUUACCAAGGCGUCGAUCGGUAGCUGGUCUGAGAGGACGAUCGGCCACACUGGGACUGAGACACGGCCCAGACUCCUACGGGAGGCAGCAGUGGGGAAUAUUGGACAAUGGGCGCAAGCCUGAUCCAGCAAUUCCGCGUGGGUGAAGAAGGUCUUCGGAUUGUAAAGCCCUUUCGACAGGGACG